UCUCUGGUAGUAUAUCGGAUAGUACACCCGCCUGUCACACUUGCUGUGCGCGGGAAAGCGGGGUUCGAUUCCCCGCCAGAGAG